UAUGAGAAAAAAGUCUACAAAUUAAUUUUUCUUUUUUCUUUUUUCUUCUUUUUUUUUCAGUUGGUUUUUCCAAACAAGUGUCUUACCAUGAAGAUGACCAUGACCCGGGCAGGCUAGGAACAGAGAGGGAGAGGAGAAGGAAAAGUGAGUGGAGACCUGAAAAGGAAAAAACUAUGCAAAGGUGUCUGUGUCUUCAUUUCUUUGGCAGCAAAUCACGUUGCCAUUGA
rnacentral:lncRNA from 12 species